ACGGACGCCGGUGACAAACCGGAGGAAGGUGGGGACGACGUCAAGUCAUCAUGGCCCUUAUGUCCUGGGCUACACACGUGCUACAAUGGCCGGUACAGAGCGCAGCGAAGCCGCGAGGCAAAGCGAAUCGCAAAAAGCCGGUCUCAGUACGGAUUGGAGUCUGAAACCCGACUCCAUGAAGUUGGAAUCGCUAGUAAUCGCGCAUCAGCAUGGCGCGGUGAAUACGUUCCCGGGCCUU
rnacentral:rRNA from 1 species